GUGCCCAUAGCUCAGCUGGAUAGAGUAUCAGAUUGCGGAUCUGAUGGUCGGAGGUUCGAAUCCUCUUGGGCACGCGA
rnacentral:tRNA from 1 species